GAAGAAAUCACUAGCCGAAAGCAUGCAUGCAUUUAAAUAGUGAAAAUUUGCUUUCGCUUACAAAAGACUACGGAUUACCGAUUAAUUAUCCAAAAUAGGGUAACCCUAAUUACUAUUACACAUAUCGUCUUUUAAUAAUUCCCACCGAUCGGAGGAAACGAACGGUAGAAAAUACCUAAAACCGUAUCAAAAGUUUUUAGAAGCAUAUUAUACAAAUAAAACCACAUAACUAGAUUAAGAGCCAACACUAUCCACAACCCCUCCAUACAAUCCCCUUCCGAUUCUCGAGCUCGAUUCCCAACUUCACUCCUCGGGCCCCAAAUCGGGUAUACCUACAAACAUACAACACCUAUAUGAGUCUUUGAGGACUCAAUGAGAACCUUGAAGUAAUAUCGAAUACACAU
rnacentral:lncRNA from 1 species